rnacentral:rRNA from 1 species
GGCUCAGGACGAACGCUGGCGGCACGCUUAACACAUGCAAGUCGAACGGAGAUAUUUAGGUUUACUUAGAUAUCUUAGUGGCGGACGGGUGAGUAACACGUGAGCAACCUGCCUUUGAGAGAGGGAUAGCUUCGGGAAACUGAUGGUAAUACCUCAUAACGUAUAUAUGCCGCAUGACAGAUAUACCAAAGAUUUAUCACUCAAAGAUGGGCUCGCGUCUGAUUAGCUAGUUGGUGAGGUAACGGCCCACCAAGGCGACGAUCAGUAGCCGGACUGAGAGGUUGAACGGCCACAUUGGGACUGAGACACGGCCCAGACUCCUACGGGAGGCAGCAGUGGGGAAUAUUGCACAAUGGGGGAAACCCUGAUGCAGCGAUGCCGCGUGGAGGAAGAAGGUUUUCGGAUUGUAAACUCCUGUCUUAAAGGACGAUAAUGACGGUACUUUAGGAGGAAGCUCCGGCUAACUACGUGCCAGCAGCCGCGGUAAUACGUAGGGAGCGAGCGUUGUCCGGAAUUACUGGGUGUAAAGGGAGCGUAGGCGGGACGGCAAGUCAGAUGUGAAAACCACGGGCUCAACCUGUGGACUGCAUUUGAAACUGUUGUUCUUGAGUGAAGUAGAGGUAAGCGGAAUUCCUGGUGUAGCGGUGAAAUGCGUAGAUAUCAGGAGGAACACCGGUGGCGAAGGCGGCUUUACUGGGGCUUUAACUGACGCUGAGGCUCGAAAGCCGUGGGGUAGCAAAACAGAAUUAGAUACCCCUGGUAGUCCACCGCUGUAAACGAUGAAUUACUAGGUGUGAGGGGACUGACCCCUUCCGUGCCGCAGUUAACACAAUAAGUAAUCCACCUGGGGGAGUGCGGCCGCAAGGUUGAAACUCAAAGAAAUUGACGGGGACCCGCACAAGCGGUGGAGUAUGUGGCUUAAUUCGAUGCAACGCGAAGAACCUUACCAAGGCUUGACAUCCUGGGACCGCCUGUGAAAGCAGGUUUUCUAUUCGUAGACCCAGAGACAGGUGCUGCAUGGCCGUCGUCAGCUCGUGUCGUGAGAUGUUUGGUUAAGUCCAGCAACGAGCGCAACCCCUGCUGCCAGUUACCAUCAUUAAGUUGGGGACUCUGGCGGGACUGCCCAGAUCAACUGGGAGGAAGGUGGGGACGACGUCAGGUCAGUAUGGCCCUUAUGCCUUGGGCUGCACACGUACUACAAUGCCCAGUACAGAGGGAAGCCAACCCGCGAGGGAGAGCAGAUCCCGAAAAGUGGGCCCAGUUCGGAUUGGAGGCUGCAACUCGCCUCCAUGAAGCCGGAAUCGAUAGUAAUGGCGCAUCAGCUACGGCGCCGUGAAU